GAAAUGCGAUAAGUAAUGUGAAUUGCAGAAUUCAGUGAAUCAUCGAAUCUUUGAACGCACAUUGCGCCCAUUAGUAUUCUAAUGGGCAUGCCUGUUCGAGCGUCAUUUCAACCCUCAAGCCCUAGUUGCUUGGUGUUGGGAGCUUAUCCUACCGAAGGGCAGGACAACUCCUUAAAAUUAUUGGCGGAGUCGCGGUGACCCCAAGCGCAGUAAUCUUUUUUCUCGCUUUAGGUGUUAACGCUGGCUUCUAGCCAUUAAACCCCCUAUUUUCCAAUGGUUGACCUCGGAUCAGGUAGGACUACCCGCUGAACUUAA
rnacentral:misc_RNA from 1 species